rnacentral:lncRNA from 1 species
GGAAAUCUGGUCGAGCUCAAAUGAUCAAAAUGGUCUUUGCUGAAAUGCUAUAUAAUAUUUGGUUAGAGAGAAACUCAAGAUUGUUCAAUCACACAUCCUGUUCCAGUGGACAUCUACUCAGAAGCAUUGCUUAUACAUGUCAUGUUCGGAGCCCCCCUAAAGUUAGAACACACCUUUUGCAUUAUCUUCUGUAAUUAGAAAUAUAGGUAUAGUAAAUAUAGAUGUUAGCUAGUUUUUUUAUAGAUGAUAGUCAGCU